rnacentral:rRNA from 1 species
UACGUAGGGAGCGAGCGUUGUCCGGAAUCAUUGGGCGUAAAGAGCAUGUAGGUGGAUCAAUUAGUCUGCUGUGAAAGUCAAAGGCUCAACCUUUGAAAGCCGGUGGAUACUGUUGAUCUAGAGUACGGAAGAGGCGAGUGGAAUUCCUGGUGUAGCGGUGGAAUGCGCAGAUAUCAGGAGGAACACCAAUAGCGAAGGCAGCUCGCUGGGACGUUACUGACGCUGAGACGCGAAAGCGUGGGGAGCAAACAGG